rnacentral:tRNA from 1 species
GCCUCGGUAGUGCAGUAGGUAGCGCGUCAGUCUCAUAUACUGAAGGUCGUGAGUUCAAUCCUCACCCGUGGCA